GUUUCGUGUCUUUCAAGAAAGACUUUGCAUUUCUGAUCCCAUUCUGCCAACUGUUGUUCAUCCUCUGGCUCUUGGCUGAUUCUUCGUUCGUGUUCUAGGAGUUGACGUGGUUGUGUCAGAAAUAUCAAACAGUUAUAUUCUUCAUAACUGACAACAGCAACAUUUGAAGCUGCCUGGAACUGGUGCUGUUCCCAAAGGUUUUGAGGGGCUGUAAAUACUCCAGUGUGGUGAGAUACCCCUUGGAAGCUGUUAGAAUGGAACCUGCCCGUGGAGAAAUCAAGGUGAAACUGUAAGAUAAUAAGGACAGGCAACGAGCUUUAUUGCUGCCCUGGUGUUUCAUCUGCAUGUUGUAGCUUCACCUCUUUCUGCAACAAAAAACAAUGAACUGCAAUCUUAGGGUUCUACAGCUCUUCACAGAGGUGAACAAAGUGCUGCGGUGGUGCAAUUUUGAGCAUCUUAAAUGAAUGUUUCUAUCCUGCAAUGUCAGAAAUAUGCAUGAGGUGUCCUGCACAUAGAGAGGAAAUUAAUAUCAUUUUGGGGGCAAAAAUCUACCUCUACCUAGAUGGAAGAUUUUCAUUCAUCCAUUUGUGAUAUGCAAACCACAAGCAGUGCUGAAGUACAAGAUUUCCUACAAUGAAGGGGAUACAGUGGACUUCUAUCAGUGAAAAGUGCAUAGAUGCAGGAGAAGGAGACCCUUGGGGUCUGAUGACUGGAGCAAAGGCACUCUUCUGUUUGACAGCAGGAAAGACGGAAGAGGAGAAUGGGAGGAUGGAAGAAGUGCUGGAGGAGCCAACUGUUGGACUUGAAGACAUUACUGCAAGAGAAGAAAAAGUUAUUCCUCAUCAGAGAUACAAUUAGACACGUUUGGUAUUGCCUUAAAUGUCUGUCCUGUUGGCUUGGCUGCUUGAGGUAUGUCUAAAGUAGAGAGGUAGGUAGUUAUAUUGAAUAGCUAGUUCAAAAGAAGAUAUGUCUAAUUAGCCUAAACUGUAAGAAGAACUAACCAAUAUUUCUUGUGUUUUCAAAGGAAUCCCCAGGUCUCAUUAAGUAGUAGUUAGAAAUAAGAAUAACAGUAUGCUGCAGACUUGGUCCUUUCCUUAAUGAAGUCUUACAGAGGGAAAUCAAGGUACGGAAGGGAAGAGUGACUUGCCUGUGGUCACCCUCAUAACUGGAAGUGCAAUAGUACUUACUUUAUCAGCGUAAAAAUAAUUUCACAGGAAAUUAAUCCAAAGUCCAGCUCUCAGCUAAUGUUCAUACACUUCUUCCUGGACAGAGAAGUCAUUUCAGAAUGUGUUUUACUAAGGAUAUUCAGAGUAGCCUCUUUGCUGUGACUGCUACUCACUUCGUCAUCUAACAUUGCAAAUGUACCUCAUUUCUAGUGGCUUUUGCUUUUUAUGUGGGAAUCUGCAUAAGGGUGAAAACUGAAGGAAAUACAGGUAGGGUUCAAUAUUCCUCUGUUAUUCUUGAAAGAUGGGAAUGUUUCUAGUUCAUACUAAAAAAUAUUAGAACAAAAAUUCUGAGUCUCUUACAGAAUUUUCACUAAAUCUCAGAAACUUCUCUUGAAAGAUAUUGCUGUUAUUUGAUGCAGUAAAUGAAAUUAAGCGGGACCAGGCACAAACCUAAAAGCAAAUCACUUACUUCCAUAAGGGGAUCCUGUUGGAGAGCCGUUAAUGAAACCAGGGGAGCCUGGAACGCCCAGGUUGGACAUGGGGACGUUGCUGUAGCCGUUCAUGCUAUUGCUGGAAGUGCUAUAAUUGGACUGUUGAGGUGUGGAACUGGAUGAGUAACCGCGGGGUGAGAUGCUGCUUGUAUUACGAAUGUAACCUAAAAAUAAAACACAUUUCAUCGAAUGCCAAGGAAUGAAUUUAGCUUAAAACUUUCUUCUGUAUAAAUAAAAAAAAAUAAAAACCCUG